GUGCACCAGGCGCGAAACUUCACAAUGUGCGAAAGCACGAUGAGGGAAUCCCAAGUGCUUGCACGUAAGUGUAAGCUGUUUCUCUGUCUAAAACGCAGAGAGAGUAAGGGCUGGGUAAGACGGGUGCCAGCCGCCGCGGUAAUACCUGCAGCUCGAGUGGUGACCGUUAUUAUUGGGCCUAAAACGUCCGUAGCCGGUUUAAUAAAUGCCUGGGUAAAUCGGACCGCUUAACGGUUCGAAUUCCGGGUAGACUGUUAAACUUGAGACCGGGAGAAGUUAGAGGUACUCCUGGGGUAGAGGUGAAAUUCUGUAAUCCUAGGGGGACCACCAGUGGCGAAGGCGUCUAACUAGAACGGGUCUGACGGUGAGGGACGAAGCCCUGGGGCGCAAAACGGGGAUUAGAUACCCCUGUAGU
rnacentral:rRNA from 1 species